rnacentral:rRNA from 1 species
UACGAAGGGGGCUAGCGUUGUUCGGAAUUACUGGGCGUAAAGCGCGCGUAGGCGGUUUUGCAAGCCAGAGGUGAAAUGCCUGAGCUCAACUUAGGAAUUGCCUUUGGGACUGCGAGGCUUUGAGGACGGGAGAGGUGAGUGGAACUGCGAGUGUAGAGGUGAAAUUCGUAGAUAUUCGCAAGAACACCAGUGGCGAAGGCGGCUCACUGGCCCGGUACUGACGCUGAGGUGCGAAAGCGUGGGGAGCAAACAGG